AGUGAACGCUGGCGGUAGGCCUAACACAUGCAAGUCGAACGGCAGCACAGAGGAGCUUGCUCCUUGGGUGGCGAGUGGCGGACGGGUGAGGAAUACAUCGGAAUCUACUCUGUCGUGGGGGAUAACGUAGGGAAACUUACGCUAAUACCGCAUACUACCUACGGGUGAAAGCAGGGGAUCUUCGGACCUUGCGCGAUUGAAUGAGCCGAUGUCGGAUUAGCUAGUUGGCGGGGUAAAGGCCCACCAAGGCGACGAUCCGUAGCUGGUCUGAGAGGAUGAUCAGCCACACUGGAACUGAGACACGGUCCAGACUCCUACGGGAGGCAGCAGUGGGGAAUAUUGGACAAUGGGCGCAAGCCUGAUCCAGCCAUACCGCGUGGGUGAAGAAGGCCUUCGGGUUGUAAAGCCCUUUUGUUGGGAAAGAAAUCCAGCCGGCUAAUACCUGGUUGGGAUGACGGUACCCAAAGAAUAAGCACCGGCUAACUUCGUG
rnacentral:rRNA from 1 species